GACGUAGGGCGCAAGCGUUGUCCGGAUUUAUUGGGCGUAAAGAGCUCGUAGGCGGCUUGUCGCGUCGACUGUGAAAACCCGUGGCUCAACCAUGUGGUCUGCAGUCGAUACGGGCAGGCUAGAAUUCGGUAGGGGAGACUGGAAUUCCUGGUGUAGCGGUGAAAUGCGCAGAUAUCAGGAGGAACACCGGUGGCGAAGGCGGGUCUCUGGGCCGAUAUUGACGCUGAGGAGCGAAAGCGUGGGUAGCAAACAGG
rnacentral:rRNA from 1 species